rnacentral:lncRNA from 1 species
UUGUGUUAGCAACAAGGCUGUUUAUUUCACCUGGGUGCAGGCGGGCUGAGUCCGAAAAGAGAGUCAGCCAAGGGAGAUAAAGGUGGGGCUGUUUUAUAGGAUUUGGGUAGAUAAAGGAAAAUUACAGUCAAAGGGGGCUGUUCUCUGGCGGGCAGGAGUGGGGGUCACAAUGUACUCAGUGGGGGAGCUUUUGAGCCAGGAUGAGCCAGGAGAAGGAAUUUCACAAGACAAUGUCAUCAGUUAAGGCACGAACAGGCCAUUUUCACUUCUUUUGUGGUGGAAUGUCAUCAGUUAAGGCAGGAACCAGCCAUCUGGAUGUGUACGUGCAGAUCACAGGGGAUAUGAUGGCUUAGCUUGAGCUCAGAGGCCUGACAAUUGGGUUUGACCAACUCUAUCCAACUUGAUCAAAUCUGAAGGAAAGUUCCACAUUACGGGGAACAAGACCUCUGAAUUGGCUAAAUUCCACAGCUGGAAAAAAAAAAAAAAAAAGCAGGGAGAAGGAAAAACAGUCCAGCAAAAGGGGAUAAAAGAGAAAGGUUCUUGAUUUUGACUACCCUGAGGGCUUUAUUUACAUAAUAAGGCCAGUUUUUGUUAGCCAAGCCAAACUGAAAGAGUAAUGGCUGUCGCCCCAUGCAGCAGUUCCAUAGCUAAGCUUCUGCCCCCACUUUUUUUUCAUCAAGACAGUCUGGGUUUGGUUUCUAAAGCCCUUUCUGGUUUGAUAUUUGUGUUACUUUUGAAAUAUCAGCAAUUUAUCCUAGUUAAAAUAUGGUAAUGAGAUUAAAAAGGUUUUUUUUUAAAUGGAGCUCAAUGGUUAAAAGUCAGUUUAAUUAAAAGCUAAUAUCCAAGAUGAUGAUGAUGAUGAUGAUG